rnacentral:rRNA from 1 species
GAUGAACGCUGGCGGCGUGCCUAAUACAUGCAAGUCGAGCGAACAGACGAGGAGCUUGCUCCUCUGACGUUAGCGGCGGACGGGUGAGUAACACGUGGAUAACCUACCUAUAAGACUGGGAUCACUUCGGGAAACCGGAGCUAAUACCGGAUAAUAUAUUGAACCGCAUGGUUCAAUAGUGAAAGACGGUUUUGCUGUCACUUAUAGAUGGAUCCGCGCCGCAUUAGCUAGUUGGUAAGGUAACGGCUUACCAAGGCAACGAUGCGUAGCCGACCUGAGAGGGUGAGCGGCCACACUGGAACUGAGACACGGUCCAGACUCCUACGGGAGGCAGCAGUAGGGAAUCUUCCGCAAUGGGCGAAAGCCUGACGGAGCAACGCCGCGUGAGUGAUGAAGGUCUUCGGAUCGUAAAACUCUGUUAUUAGGGAAGAACAAAUGUGUAAGUAACUAUGCACGUCUUGACGGUACCUAAUCAGAAAGCCACGGCUAACUACGUG